AGCUCCAGUAGCGUAUAUUAAAGUUGUUGCAGUUAAAAAGCUCGUAGUUGGAUCUCGGGUUGUCGGCUGUGGUUCAGGUUCAUGCCUGCUUACUGCUGCCGAUACCUAACCAGUGGGAUGCUGUGGGUGCCCUUAGUUGGGUCGCCUACUGCACCCGCUCAAUUUACUUUGAAAAAAUUAGAGUGUUCAAAGCAGGCUCACACGCCUGAAUAAUGGUGCAUGGAAUAAUGGAAUAGGAUCUCGGUUCUAUUUUGUUGGUUUUCGGAACUUGAGAUAAUGAUUAAGAGGGACAGACGGGGGCAUUCGUAUUGCGGUGUUAGAGGUGAAAUUCUUGGAUCGCCGCAAGACGAACUACUGCGAAAGCAUUUGCCAAGAAUGUUUUCAUUAAUCAAGAACGAAA
rnacentral:rRNA from 1 species